rnacentral:lncRNA from 1 species
GCAGAACCUGGCUAUGGUGUUGACCUAAGCAGGGCAGGCGGCUCGACCACCUUUGGCUUUCUGUUUUGUGCCAGCCACAUCCCUGGAGUUUCAGCUGGGACAGUCUAGGCGUCUGUACAAACGGCUGAAAGCAACUGUUAUCUCUGCAGUGGUAAGAAUGGUGACAUUGUGCAACUCAUUGAACAGUCAGACCCAACAUCCAGAAUGAGGCAGUUCCCAGUGGUCUCCAGCUUGGUUCCCUUCAAGCUGGACGUCUCUCAGAGGUGGAAGAUGCGCC